UCCGUGACCUAUUUUGGUUCAUUUUCUUUUCUUUUCUCAGAGUGAAUGCUUCAAUUUAGAACAACAGAUCGACUUCUUUAAGGAGACUGUACAAGAAGACUUGCCAUAUUUGAUUCCAGACCCUGAUGCUCGCAAACAGUAUCUUGCCAAAUCUAUCUUUUUCAUUUCCACGGGAGCCAAUGACUACUUUUUCACUUAUCCUAAAUCAAACACAAAGGACCCUAAUGAGUUUGCAAUCUCUCUCAUCUUUGAGUUGAAGAUCUACUUAGCCGUAAGUAAUCUUCUAUUAGAGCGAUCGAUGUACCUAAGACUGCUGUUUACAAUGUGUGUAGGGUGUUUGGAAUUAUUUUAUUUUAUUUUUUUUAAAUAUUUUUUGUUGACUUAUUUUUGUGUGAACUUGUUUUAAAAUUUUUCAAAAAUAUUUAGGCUUCUGAUUCUACUCAAAUGAGACGAAUCCAAAAAUUAAAAAGAAAAAAAAUUGAAAGCAAUUCAUAAAAGUUAAAAGCGAGUUUUUAAGCUUAUCUUGGCAUUUUAAUCUUUAUUUGGAAUUUUUCAAAAAUGUUUUACUUUUUAAAUUUGUCUACAUUGACAUAAUUCACAUAAAAAAAAAA